CACUAAUACAACCCUAUGCGGUGGAUCACUUGGCUCGCGAGUCGAUGAAGAGCGCGGCAAACUGCGUGAAUUAAUGUGAUUUGCAGGACACAUUGAUCAUCGAUAUCUUGAACGCAUAUUGCGGUUAUGGAUCACUUCCAUGACCACGCCUGUCUGAGGGUCGGUAUU
rnacentral:rRNA from 1 species